rnacentral:rRNA from 1 species
UACGUAGGGGGCUAGCGUUGUCCGGAUUUAUUGGGCGUAAAGAGCGUGUAGGCGGCCAGGUAGGUCCGCUGUGAAAGUCCGAGGCUCAACCUCGGAAUGUCGGCGGAAACCCUCUGGCUAGAGUCCGGAAGAGGAGAGUGGAAUUCCCGGUGUAGCGGUGAAAUGCGCAGAUAUCGGGAAGAACACCCGUGGCGAAGGCGGCUCUCUGGAACGGUACUGACGCUGAGACGCGAAAGCGUGGGGAGCGAACGGG